rnacentral:rRNA from 1 species
GACGAACGCUGGCGGCGUGCUUAACACAUGCAAGUCGAACGGAAAGGCCCUGCUUUUAUGGGGUGCUCGAGUGGCGAACGGGUGAGUAACACGUGAGUAACCUGCCCUUGACUUUGGGAUAACUUCAGGAAACUGGGGCUAAUACCGGAUAGGAGCUCCUGCUGCAUGGUGGGGGUUGGAAAGUUUCGGCGGUUGGGGAUGGACUCGCGGCUUAUCAGCUUGUUGGUGGGGUAGUGGCUUACCAAGGCUUUGACGGGUAGCCGGCCUGAGAGGGUGACCGGCCACAUUGGGACUGAGAUACGGCCCAGACUCCUACGGGAGGCAGCAGUGGGGAAUAUUGCACAAUGGGCGGAAGCCUGAUGCAGCAACGCCGCGUGCGGGAUGACGGCCUUCGGGUUGUAAACCGCUUUCGCCUGUGACGAAGCGUGGGUGACGGUAAUGGGUAAAGAAGCACCGGCUAACUACGUG